UCUGAGCAAGUUGGGUGGGUUAGAUGAGUUUGGACUCAAAUUGACAUCCCUGUUUAUAUGAAAAAAGCCGUGAAUCCAAUCAAUGAUUAAAGUUCGAUGGUAUGAACAAAUUGCAGAAUUUGAUGUCUAUUUUCUUAUCUGAACUUAGCAUCUGAAAACUUUUAAGGAAAUAUACUCUUCACUUACCUCUAGUUGUAGUUCUCUUCAUCUCAACAACAGCCUGACGACCUCCAAUGGUAAUGGGUGAAGCCUAAAUAAAAGAAUUAUCACGGAAAAACAACCCCAGGAAUUUAGCAGUAGUUUUAAAUCAUCAGCAUGUUUAAAUUAUUAUAUAACAGAAAAGAAUCAUCUAAUAAGCUGAGUAGCAAGAUAACUAAGGACAAAAGAUAGAGAAGAUUAUUUUCUCCCAUAUAUUAUGUAUAGCUAAUCUUCAUAUUCCUGAUUACUACUUCAGGCAAAGAUUUGUUUUGACCUAAAGAAGUCCAUGGCUGCAGAAUCAGGAUUUAAUAUAGAGCUAUACUGGAAUAUCAGACAUAGGCACAUAGUAGAGGCACUAACUGAACAAAUUGUGGCUCUUCUGCGGCAGUGAUAGCAGAACUGCACACUGAAUCAAGGUCUACACAUGCUUUAGCCUUGAAUAAACAUUGUAUCGUUAGAUUGUAGUGACUGCAUUGAUAUGGUGUGACAUGCACAUUAUGCUCCAUCUAUAAACAUAGAUUUCCAAUCACCUCCUGGAGGCUGCAGUCUGGUUUGAAACAGUUCUCUUAAUUUAAUAUGUGAACUCUAUGUAGCAGAAAAUCAGGGAAUCCUGAACAAACCAUCCAAUCGAAGUGUUUUUGUAACAGUAGUACCACGACUCUCAACCACUUAUCAAAACACAAUCUCAUAUUUCCAACACAAGAAACCUACCUGUAAUAAGUUGCACAUAAAUUUCAAACCCUUCUGGAUAAUAUACCAAAAAUGAGAAGGAAAUGUAAAGCUGAAACUCUUCAUCACAUUCCCCACUCCAACAGGUGAACAACUCUUCCCAGAGCUCAACUUUCACAAAACCCUUCUGGAUAAUAUACCAAAAAUGAGAAGGAAAUGUAAAGCUGAAACUCUUCAUCACAUUCCCCACUCCAACAGGUGAACAACUCUUCCCAGAGCUCAACUUUCACAAAACCCUUCUGGAUAAUAUACCAAAAAUGAGAAGGAAAUGUAAAGCUGAAACUCUUCAUCACAUUCCCCACUCCAACAGGUGAACAACUCUUCCCAGAGCUCAACUUUCACAAAAGUGGAAGUACACUAAACAUAAAUCCUCUGCAUAUAUGUGAUAAGAAAAACGUCCCUAUGAUUUUCAUAGAUACCAUAGGGGGAAUCAUGAUCUUCGUCCAGGCAGCACUUGAUUCUCAGUAUAGAUGACACCUUGACCGUCGACUCUAUAGUAGGUUAUUUUGAUGAGCCAAUGAGUUUUUUUCCUCGUCCAUUUCAAAAAUGAUUUUUUUCCCUUGUUCCAGGAUACAGUACGCCAACAUGUUAAGUGCCACUUAUACAAACUAUAAACUACUAGGGAUAAUCAUUUUACAAUUAGAGGCAAUUCAAUUAAUUUCAUUUUGAAGUUUUCGUUCAUUAGAACUUUUCAUUCUAGUUCCGAGUUACAGUUUCUAAAAUAAGCAUGGUCAUUAGCUGACUUCUUCUAGUUCAACCCAAAAAAUUUGAUUUUCUAACACAAUUAAUAUUUUCAAACUGUGGUGUAUUCAUUAAUAUGUACAAACAUAUACGUGUGUGUACACAUACACAUAUAUCAGUUGCUGUAAAAUACUCAUGCUUUGGUUGUAGGAGCUUCUGAGGACGGGAGAAAAUUGUGGAAUUAUAUGAAAGAGUCUCGGGAGCUGGGCACUAGUCAAAGUAGUAAAAAUGGACAAGUGGGCAAGUAGCGAGCAAGAGUAGUUAAUGUAUUCUAAGCCUGCAUGUUUGAUUUUGCUCUCUAGCGGACUAGCAUAAACCUUCUCAGACAGCUUGAGGAUGAUAGGCCCCUAUAAAUAAACAGUAGUUAUUUCGAUAAAUAUGCUGAACAGCACACAUAUCAAAAUCUGGCAACCAUUAUAUGCCAAAUAGAACUAACAUAAAAAACUGGCACGUUAUACUCUUUAUGGUGAUCAAGGUUCCAUCAUGCAUCUUCUUGAAAAGACUAAUGAGCAACAUAUCAUACUAACAUGUCUAGGAAGACGAUACAUUUUAAAUUCUAGUGAAGAUAGAGUAUGCAAUGAUAUUUC
rnacentral:lncRNA from 1 species